rnacentral:rRNA from 1 species
UCAAGCUAGUAAGGGCAUUCGGUGGAUGCCUUGGCACCAAGAGGCGAUGAAGGACGUGGCAAAACUGCGAUAAGCCACGGGGAGCCGUAAGCAGGCGUUGAUCCGUUGAUCUCCGAAUCGGAAAACCGUCGUCGAGGAAAGUCGACGAGGCCCCGAGCUGAAUACAUAGGCUCGGGGAGGCGAACGAGGGGAACUGAAACAUCUCAGUACCCGCAGGAAAAGAAAUCAACCGAGAUUCUCCUAGUAGCGGCGAGCGAACGGGGAGGAGCCCAAACCGGGUCGGCGCACGAGCCAGUCGGCGCUGCCGUCCCGGGGUAGAACGCGAUCGGUGGAGGGGGCGACUGACCCCUCGCUGGGAGCGACCGGCGUCAGACGAAGGGUGCUGGAACGGCACACCAGAGAGGGUGAGAGUCCCGUAGGCGAAACGUGGGUGGCGUGGGUGAUCGGGCACCUGAGUACCGCGGAGCACGUGGAAUUCCGUGGGAAGCUGGGGGGACCACCCUCCAAGGCGAAAUACUCGUGACGACCGAUAGUGAACGAGUACCGUGAGGGAAAGGUGAAAAGAACCCCGGAAGGGGAGUGAAAUAGAUCCUGAAACCGCAUGCUUACAAAAAGUCGGAGCCCGCAAGGGUGACGGCGUACCUUUUGUAUAAUGGGUCAGCGACUUAUAUUCUGUAGCAAGGUUAACCGAAUAGGGGAGCCGUAGGGAAACCGAGUCUUAAUAGGGCGACUAGUUGCAUGCCGUAGACCCGAAACCGGGUGACCUAUCCAUGGCCAGGUUGAAGCGAGGGUAAAACUUCGUGGAGGACCGAACCACGUUGCUGUUGAAAAAGCAUGGGAUGAGCUGUGGAUAGCGGAGAAAUUCCAAUCGAACUCGGAGAUAGCUGGUUCUCCCCGAAAUGCAUUUAGGUGCAGCGUUGCGUGUUUCGUGCCGGAGGUAGAGCACUGGAUAGGCGAUGGGCCCCACCGGGUUACUGACCUUAGCCAAACUCCGAAUGCCGGUAAGUGAGAGCAUGGCAGUGAGACUGCGGGGGAUAAGCUCCGUAGUCGAGAGGGAAACAGCCCAGAACAUCAGCUAAGGCCCCUAAGCGUGUGCUAAGUGGGGAAGGAUGUGGAGUUGCACAGACAACCAGGAGGUUGGCUUGGAGGCAGCCAUCCUUGAAAGAGUGCGUAAUAGCUCACUGGUCAAGUGAUUCCGCGCCGACAAUGUAGCGGGGCUCAAGUACACCGCCGAAACCGUGGCAUUCAAGCUUUUGUUUGGAUGGGUAGGGGAGCGUCGUGCACGAGGUGAAGCCAGCGGGGAACUUCUGGUGGAUUGUGUACGAGUGAGAAUGCAGGCAUGAGUAGCGAAAGACGGGUGAGAAACCCGUCCGCCGGAUGACCAAGGGUUCCAGGGUCAAGCUAAUCUGCCCUGGGUAAGUCGGGACCUAAGGCGAGGCCGACAGGCGUAGUCGAUGGACAACGGGUUGAUAUUCCCGUACCCGCGAAGAAGCGUCCCUGCCGAACCUCACUGUGCUAACCACGUGAGUUAGUGGCGGACUUCGGUCCAAAUCUAACAAGCCUGGGAUCCUGGUGGGUAGUAGGCAAGCGAUGGGGUGACGCAGGAAGGUAGCUGAGCCCGGUGAGUGGUUGUGCCGGGGUAAGCGUGUAGCCCGCGCCAUAGGCAAAUCCGUGGCGCACGAGGGUGAGGCCUGACGCAUAGCCGAAUGAGGCGAAUGGGAUGAUCCUAUGCUGCCGAGAAAAGCCUCUAGCGAGUGUUCAUGCGGCCCGUACCCCAAACCGACACAGGUGGUCAGGGUGAGAAUCCCAAGGCGCUUGAGAGAACUCCGGUUAAGGAACUAGGCAAAUUGUAGCCGUACCUUCGGAAGAAGGCUAGCCCUCUGGUGUGUAGUGCACAACGAAGCAUCGGGAGGUCGCAGAGAAAUGGGGGUUGCGACUGUUUACCAAAAACACAGGUCUCUGCCAACCCGCAAGGGGACGUAUAGGGGCUGACACCUGCCCAGUGCCGGAAGGUUAAGAGGAGCGGUCAGGCGCAAGCCGAAGCUGCGAAUUGAAGCCCCGGUGAACGGCGGCCGUAACUAUAACGGUCCUAAGGUAGCGAAAUUCCUUGUCGGGUAAGUUCCGACCCGCACGAAUGGCCUCAUGAGUGGAGCACUGUCUCAACGAAGGACCCGGCGAAAUUGAAGUACGUGUGAAGAUGCGCGUUACCCGCACUAGGACAAAAAGAC